CUUUGGGAUUUGGAGUUCCGCAGGGUGGAAGCUAAAGAAGGUGCAUCUUAACUACAGGGCCCCGGUUUCCUUCACACAUGCACAACCCAUUUGGAGCUGGGUCUGGAGAAACCUGUAACAGUCUGUGACCCUACCACUUGGACGCAUCAUAUCUCAGAAGCUAAACAGAGUCCGGCCUGGUUAGCAUUUGGUUGGAUUAGAGAUUGGUCACCGUGAGGAAGCCAAAUCGGAUCCGAGAGUCUUUUUCUAAAGGCCAGUACUGGCCACAUUUUCUCCUGCCGCCUUCCUCAAAGCUGAAGACAUACAGAGCAAGUUAGUGCUAUACUUCAGAAGCAGUGCAGAUACUUGGCAGAAAAAUGACCUCUCUUCAUUCUAAACAGGUGUUAAAACAGCUAACAUUCUUACAUGUAUACAUUUAGCAGACAUGCAUUGUACAUUCACUGUAUCAUCUGUCUCCUUCCUGAUACUUGGUUGUAUUUCCUACAUAUAGUAGCAAAACCACACUGAGGCCUAGACCUUGGCCACUGCUCAGUUUCUUUCCCAAGAAGGGCCCUUGGCUGACACAGGAGUGGGGAAGACAAUUCUUCCAACUACAGGUGGCUGUUGACAACACCCUGAGGACGGAACUGAGCGAGCAUCACUUUUCUUCCCUAUCUGAAAAAGGUAGAGAUAUUAAUGAACAGAGAACCAUCAAAAGAAGAAGGAAAUGGAGAGCAAAGGGAACUGGUAAUGCAGUGGCCAGGAAGCCACCUUUCCUCUGUAGACAAGAGGCAGCUUCAAGGUGUGCUGCUGGCAUUUCCCAGCACGUCCUUUAGUGAAUAAGGCCAGAACCCCAGGAUAGGCCUUAGCGCACUAGCCCUGGGUCCCUACAGUUACGGAUUAAAUAUCUUUCUGCAAGGCUAACAGUGUCUCCACCGUGUCCUACCAUGUUAACUAUAGAUGUGGCAUAGCUUUCUUAAUCAUUCAAGCUUAGGGUCAUGGAAUCUAUGGUUAAAAGAAGACUAACUCACCGGGUGGUCAUGACAAUCACCAAAACUUUUUGCUCCCAAACCAUAAGCCAGAAGUCACGAUAGGUGUUUUCCAAAGGACCUGGAAUAAAAGGACAGGAGGAAGAGCGGGCCUUUAGAAGCAUGUCUGUCGUUCUCUACUUGUCUUCCAAAUAGUAUCUCUGAA
ensembl:processed_transcript Gm10658 predicted gene 10658